AGAUGUUCUGGGCUGCACGCGCGUUACACUGACGGAGCCAGCGAGUACUCCCUUGGGGCCCCGAAAGGUCCGGGUAAUCUUGUUAAACUCCGUCGUGCUGGGGAUAGAGCAUUGCAAUUAUUGCUCUUCAACGAGGAAUCCCUAGUAAGCGCAAGUCAUCAGCUUGCGUUGAUUACGUCCCUGCCCUUUGUACACACCGCCCGUCGCUACUACCGAUUGAAUGGCUCAGUGAGGCGUUCGGACUGGCCCAGAGAGGUGGGCAACUACCACUCAGGGCCGGAAAGUUCUCCAAACUCGGUCAUUUAGAGGAAGUAAAAGUCGUAACAAGGUCUCCGUUGGUGAACCAGCGGAGGGAUCAUUACCGAGUUUACAACUCCCAAACCCCACUGUGAACAUACCUCUAGUUGCUUCGGCGGGACCGCCCCGGCGCGCCCUUAGGGGCUUGCCCGGAACCAGGCGCCCGCCGGAGGCCCCCCAAACUCAUGUUUUCCCCGCCCUGUGCGGUUCGUAUCUUCUGAGUGGCAAACGCAAAAAAAAAAAAUAAAUCAAAACUUUCAACAACGGAUCUCUUGGCUCUGGCAUCGAUGAAGAACGCAGCGAAAUGCGAUAAGUAAUGUGAAUUGCAGAAUUCAGUGAAUCAUCGAAUCUUUGAACGCACAUUGCGCCCGCUAGCACUCUAGCGGGCAUGCCUGUCCGAGCGUCAUUUCAACCCUCAGGACCCCUCUUCUAGGAGGGGGGCACUGGCGUUGGGGAUCGGCCCGCCCUGGAGCGGCGCCGUCCCCGAAAUACAGUGGCGGUCUCGCUGCAGCCUCCCCUGCGUAGUAGCACACCUCGCACUGGAGAGCGGCGCGGCCACGCCGUGAAAACCCCCCAACUUCUGAACGUUGACCUCGGAUCAGGUAGGAAUACCCGCUGAACUUAAGCAUAUCAAUAAGCGGAGGAAAAGAAACCAACAGGGAUUGCCUCAGUAACGGCGAGUGAAGCGGCAACAGCUCAAAUUUGAAAUCUGGCCCUAGGCCC
rnacentral:rRNA from 1 species